UGGGGAAUUUUGGACAAUGGGGGCAACCCUGAUCCAGCAAUGCUGCGUGUGUGAAGAAGGCCUUCGGGUUGUAAAGCACUUUUGUCCGGGAAGAAAUCCCCUGCCCUAAUACGGCGGGGGGAUGACGGCACUGGAAGAAUAAUCACCGGCUAACUACGUGCCAGCAGCCGCGGUAAUACGUAGGGUGCGAGUGUUAAUCGCAAUUACUGGGCGUAAAGCGUGCCGAGGCGGUGAUGUAAGACCGAUGUGAAAACCCCGGGCUCAACCUGGGAACUACUUAAGUGACUGCAUUGCUCGAGUAUGGCAGAGGGAGGUGGAAGUACACGUGUAGCAGUGGAAUGCGUAGAGAUGUGCGGGAACACCGAUGGCGAUGGCAGCCCCCUGGGCCAAUACUGACGCUCAUGCACGAAAGCGUGGGGAGCAAACAGA
rnacentral:rRNA from 1 species